rnacentral:rRNA from 1 species
CGUGCAUAACACAUGCAAGUCGGACGAGAAAGCGGGGGCAACCCUGCGAGUAAAGUGGCAGACGGGUGAGUAACACGUGAAUGACCUACCCUUGAGUGGGGAAUAACCCCGCGAAAGCGGGGCUAAUACCGCAUAACAUCCACGGGCUGCAUGGUUUGUGGAUCAAAGGCGCAAGCUGCUCGAGGAGGGGUUCGCGGCUGAUUAGCUAGUUGGUGAGGUAACGGCCCACCAAGGCGACGAUCAGUAGCCGGCCUGAGAGGGCGUACGGCCACACUGGAACUGAGACACGGUCCAGACUCCUACGGGAGGCAGCAGUGGGGAAUAUUGCGCAAUGGGCGAAAGCCUGACGCAGCAACGCCGCGUGGAGGAUGAAGGUCUUCGGAUCGUAAACUCCUGUCAGAGGGGACGAAAGCCCGAGAGGGACUGACUGUACCCUCUGAGGAAGCCACGGCUAACUCCGUGCCAGCAGCCGCCGUAAUAC